CAGCCCUGCCCACCCCUUGCUGAUUUCCAUGUGACCAGAGCACAGCCCACUGCCCUGAGCACUUCUUCAUAGACUGCACACACCCUGUGCAGCAGUCAGUGCCUGUCAGCACACAGCAUGGACAUGAGGGCCCCUGCUCAGCUCCUGGGGCUCCUGCUGCUCUGGCUCCCAGGUGCCAGAUGUGACAUCCAGAUGACCCAGACUCCACCCUCCCUGUCUGCAUCUCCAGGAGACACAGUCACCAUCAAUUGCAGGGCCAGUCAGGGCAUUAACAAAUAUUUAGCCUGGUUUCAGCAGAAACCGGGGAAACCUCCUAAGCGGCUGAUCUAUUACACAUACAAUUUGGACUCUGCGUUCCCAUCCAGGUUCAGUGGCAGUGGAUCUGGGACAGAUUAUUCUCUUACCAUCAGCAGCCUGCAGCCUGAAGAUGGGGCAACUUAUUACUGUCUGCAGUAUCAUAAUUACCCUCCCACAGUGAUAAAAGUCAUAACAGAAACCUCCCAAGAAAGCAGAAGUGAGAGGCUAGGCUACCCCAGCUGCUCCUGCAGCCUCUACCUGCUGACAGUGCUUCUCAGAUUCAUCUCUGAGGGUCGCUUGAAAAUUUUGGUAGAAGUGACUGGGAAGAAUUCUCUCUACUCUACCUUUCAGUCAGGAGUAGACAGAGUUUAUGUAUGUCAAUGCCUCUCCUGAUUCAGGAGAGCCUAAAAACUGUGGCAUGG